AUUGAACGCUGGCGGCAGGCCUAACACAUGCAAGUCGAGCGGGGUUUUCGGACCUAGCGGCGGACGGGUGAGUAAUGCGUAGGAAGCUGCCCGAUAGAGGGGGAUACCAGUUGGAAACGACUGUUAAUACCGCAUAAUGUCUACGGACCAAAGUGUGGGACCUUCGGGCCACAUGCUAUCGGAUGCGCCUACGUGGGAUUAGCUAGUUGGUGAGGUAAUGGCUCACAAAGGCGACGAUCUCUAGCUGGAUUGAGAGGAUGAUCAGCCACACUGGAACUGAGAGACGGUCCAGACUCCUACGGGAGGCAGCAGUGGGGAAUAUUGGACAAUGGGCGCAAGCCUGAUUCAGCCAUGCCGCGUGUGUGAAGAAGGCCUUCGGGUUGUAAAGCACUUUCAGCGAGGAGGAAGGGUGGUGUGUUAAUAGCACAUCAUUUUGACGUUACUCGCAGAAGAAGCACCGGCUAACUCUGUGCCAGCCGCCGCAGUAAAAC
rnacentral:rRNA from 1 species